GGCCCUGCGGAGGGCGCGGCGCGGGGAGGUGGGCGCUGCGGCGGCGGCCCGGAGGAGCGCGGGGCGGGAGCGCGGGCGCGGGCGCCGGCGGCAGGCCAUGCCGGGGGCCGGGGACGGCGUGGAGGAGAGCUGCAGUGGUGGUGAGGGAGCGGUACCGGGAACAGGCUCGGAGGCUGGGGCGGUGGCGGGACGGGAGCCCUCGCGGCUGUGCGGCUACCUGCAGAAGCUGUCGGGCAAGGGCCCGUUGCGCGGCUACCGCAGCCGCUGGUUCGUGUUUGACUCGCGCCGCUGCUACCUCUACUACUUCAAGAGUCCCCAGGACGCUCUGCCGCUCGGCCACCUGGACAUCGCCGACGCCUGCUUCAGCUACCAGGGCCGCGAUGAGGCUGCGGAGCCCGGAGCAGAUCCGCCCACACACUUCCAGGUGCACAGCGCCGGUGCAGUCACCGUGCUCAAGGCUCCUAAUCGUGAGCUCAUGACUUACUGGCUACAGGAGCUUCAGCAGAAAAGAUGGGAAUAUUGCAACAGCCUUGACAUGAUGAAGUGGGACAGCAGGACUUCCCCGACUCCAGGGGAUUUUCCCAAGGGCCUUGUGGCCAGAGAUACCACAGAUAUAAUUUCCCAGCACCCAAAUCCUUCUGCAGAAAAAGCCAGAACUGUGCUCGCUGUGGAAGCUGCCCCUGGAGAGCUGGUGGGAGACCGGGCUGCUCAUCAGCCAGCUCCCGGGCAUCCGAAUCCCAUCAACUUUUACUCUCUGAAGCAGUGGGGAAAUGAGCUCAAAAAUUCAAUGUCAUCAUUCCGUCCUGGGAGAGGGCACAGUGAGAGUCGCAGGACCGUGUUUUACACCAAUGAAGAGUGGGAACUUCUAGACCCGCCUCCUAAGGACCUGGAGGAGUCCCUGGUACCAGAAGAGAGGAAGAAGCCGAUGCCUGAGGGCAGUAAAGGAGUCGCUAGUUCAGGAUUCCCCUUUGAAUUUGGACGGAACCCUUACAAAGGAAAGCGCCCCUUGAAAGAUAUAAUUGGGUCAUACAAAAACCGCCACAGCAGUAGUGAUCCUUUGCUCGAGGGAACGGCGACAUCAUCAGGCAGCAGCGGAGGUCCCACUAAGCCAGUCCCCGAAAUGCAGCUGCAGAUUCAAAGCCAGCAGGAGGAGCUGGAGCAACUCAAGAAGGACCUAUCCAGUCAGAAGGAGCUCAUUCGGCUGCUCCAGCAGACAGUCCGGUCAUCCCAAUAUGACAAGUAUUUCACGAACCCCCAGAUCAGCCAGGGGGUCCCCGGGGACACACUGGAGCUCCUGCACCAGAAGGACGAGCAGAUCCUGGGCCUCAGCGGCCAGCUGGAGAGGUUCGGCCUGGAGAAGGAAAGCCUCCAGCAGGAAGUGAGGACGCUGAAGAGCAAGGUGGGCGAGCUCAACGAGCGGCUCGGCAUGCUGAUGGAGACCAUCCAGGCCAAGGACGAGGUCAUCAUCAAGCUCAGCGCCUGUGAGGGCAGCGUGUCAUCACCCACCCUGGGGCCCAGCUCUCCUUUGGCCAUCCCAGCCAGCAAGGACCAGCUGGAGCUGGACAGGCUAAAAGAUAGUCUGCAAGGGUACAAAAGCCAAAAUAAAUUUCUAAACAAGGAAAUUUUGGAACUCUCGGCUCUACGAAGAAAUGCAGAAAGGAGAGAGAGGGAUCUGAUGGCUAAGUACUCUAGCCUGGAAGCCAAGCUCUGCCAGGUUGAAAGUAAAUACUUGAUACUGCUCCAAGAAAUGAAGACACCAGUUUGCUCAGAGGAACAGGGCCCUGCCAGGGAUGUCAUAGCCCAGUUGUUGGAGGAUGCUCUGCAGGUCGAGAGCCAAGAGCAGCCGGAGCAAGCAUUCGUUAAGCCUCAUCUGGUCAGUGAGUUUGAUAUCUACGGGUUUAGGACUGUCCCUGAUGAUGAUGAGGAAGAGAAGUUGGUCGCCAAGGUCCGAGCACUGGACCUGAAGACUCUGUACCUCACAGACAACCAGGAGGUUUCCACUGGGGUCAAGUGGGAAAACUAUUUUGCGAGCACAAUGAACAGGGAGAUGGCAUGCUCUCCGGAGCUGAAAAACCUGAUCCGAGCAGGCAUUCCCCACGAGCACCGCUCCAAGGUGUGGAAGUGGUGUGUUGACCGUCACACCAGGAAGUUCAAGGACAGCAUGGAGCCAGACUACUUCCAGACCUUGCUGCAGAAGGCUCUGGAGAAACAGAACCCGGCCUCCAAGCAGAUCGAGCUGGACCUGCUCCGGACUCUGCCCAACAACAAGCACUACUCCAGCCCCACGUCGGAGGGCAUACAGAAGCUGCGCAGUGUCCUGCUCGCCUUCUCCUGGCGGAAUCCCGAUAUCGGCUACUGCCAAGGCCUGAACAGGUUGGUGGCAGUGGCUCUCCUUUACCUGGAUCAAGAAGAUGCCUUCUGGUGUCUCGUUACCAUCGUGGAAGUCUUCAUGCCCCGAGACUAUUACACAAAGACUCUUUUAGGAUCCCAGGCUAUAGCCCCCUGGGCUCCUGGACUGUUUUCCACCCACCCAUAAGGCUGUUGGAUGCAGUUCACCCUCUAGUGACAGGACACUGUUUCUCUGUGUGUGGGACUUCUCUCCUAGAACGCCAUCCCCUGCUCAUCUAGAAAGCUCCAGGUGGACCAGCGGGUGUUCAGAGACCUCCUGAGUGAGAAGCUGCCUCGACUGCACACCCAUUUUGAACAGUACAAAGUGGACUACACCCUCAUCACCUUCAACUGGUUUCUGGUGGUAUUUGUGGACAGCGUUGUCAGCGACAUCCUCUUUAAAAUAUGGGACUCUUUCCUUUAUGAGGGACCAAAGGUUAUUUUCCGUUUUGCCCUGGCACUUUUUAAAUAUAAGGAAGAGGAGAUCCUGAAAUUGCAAGAUUCGAUGUCCAUAUUCAAGUAUCUGCGUUACUUCACUCGGACUAUCCUCGAUGCCAGGAAGCUGAUCAGCAUCUCCUUUGGGGAUCUGAACCCCUUCCCCCUGCGCCAGAUCCGGAACCGGAGAGCCUACCACCUGGAGAAGGUCCGGCUGGAGCUGACAGAGCUGGAGGCCAUUCGAGAGGACUUCCUGCGUGAGCGGGACACUAGCCCUGACAAAGGCGAGCUAGUUAGCGAUGAGGAGGAAGACACUUGAAUGGAUCCCCACCCUAGGAUGCUGCUCUUCUUGCCUUCCUUCAUAACCAAAAGUAGCAAAGGCACAUCACUGCACAUCAGCUGUCAGAUUGUAACAUCUACAGCCUCUGGCUUCUGCUGGGCAGAUGUCCAGAGCUAAGCUGCACUUUCUCAUCUCCCAUUUCGGGGCAGGGGGCAGGUGGCUUUACAGCCAUUUCCGUGUCACAUGCAUCAUAUGCUUGCUGCCUGAUUGGUGACUCACCGGGUGACUGUUUCCAAGGGCCUGUUUACAGCAUCUGCCAGUUGUGUGCGUGUUUCGCCCCACAAAAACUAUGUUCCACAUCUCCCUAUGCUCUUUCUUUUACCCAAGGGCAGCACUGUGGAGGAAUGUGCAGGGCGCCACAGUGUGGCUGCUUCCAGGGUCACAAGGUCACCAUAAGAAGAGGGACCUCUUUAAAAAGCAAGCACACAACUGGCCUCCCAGGCUGGCGUGGGAGCCCUCUGCUGGUGGCUUGGCACUGCCAGCCGCAGUCCCUUCUGGACUAGCCUUUGCUCUCCUAUGUAGCCUUUCAGACUGCAGCACUCCCCCUGAUCUGCAGCAGUGCCCACACUUCUCACUGCCAGCUGCUUUGCCAGCUGUCUGUCCCAGAUUGCAGUGGGGCUAAACACAUCUCCAGGAGCUGCUGUAGGAAGCUCUUCUAGCUGGGAGCUGACUUGUAGACACCAUUCUCCAACUCUGGCUGGCUUGGGGUUCCAAAGGGACCUUGCAGUAGACCCAGCCCUGCAUAAGGGAACAUAGGAAACUCUCAGAUCUGUGGCUUGUGGGCUCCUGGAUUCAGGGCUCUAGAAUCUCUCCUGCCUGACAGCUGGAGUGGGGCUGACUGCCAGCUUCCUGCAUCUGGAAGCACCUGGAGUGGUGAGUUCUAGUCUCUGUGUUGCCUGGAUUAUCCUUGUCUUCAACAGGGAUCUGGGGCCACUAUGGCCUCUGGAAUAGCAGACUCUGGGGACUUGGAACACUUCUUUCUUGAAGCCCAGAGAGGGUUUGAACAAGAAAGGUUAUUUUUGCUCAGUCCCAGCGCAUCGCUGAUGGGUGACUGUCAUGAGAAAGCAUGUUACACAGUAUUAUGGGAGCACAAGGGAAACAGCCUUGGACUACUUUACACUACCUGGGGGAAAAUUGGAAACAAUCCUUAGUGUAAACACACUCAGACUCAGGAGCGGAGCAAGACAGUUUCGAGAAGCGCUUUUUCCAUGACCCAUUUUCCUGUUUUUGCUGUCUGCUUUCUAGCACUUGAGUGGCUGAGUCCAUUUUUCAGUAUCUAGACUAUGCUUAACUUCUCCAAAAGUUGCUUCAUUUAUUACCAUGUAAAAGGAGCUGGUCUCUCUAUUUAGCCAAUGGCCUUUGCCUAUCUUCAGGUAUCAAAAAUGUCAUCCUUGUGUCUUUAGGAUGGUGGUUUGAGGCCUGGUUUCUUCAGGAAGCUUGUCUGGAGCUGGACAGUGGUCUUACUGCUAUUCCAGAGCCUCCCUGAGACCAAAUGCAGGGAGAUGCCCCACCCCCUUGGAAGUGCCGGCUCUCAGCCUUGGGGACAGCUGUUAGGAAGUGCCGCAGGGUAGGGUUGCCCCAGGGCUCAGUUGCCAUGUCAGUUUCGUACCAGAAGAUGCCAGUCCAGAUGUGCAUUUGGUGUAAAUUUACUGGCGGGUUGCUUUUGUCCUGUAUGCUGGUGGAGGAGUCUUUAAAGCACCUGGUGAUGCCGGGGACAUGGCUUAGAACAUGUGCCUGGUGUGUGGGACUCUGGGUUCCAGCCCAGUGAUUGGAAACGAAAAUCUCCAAUAUGCAUGGGGUCCUGUUCUGCCAUUCCCUGAGAGACGGCAUUAGUUUCUCAAGCAGUUAGCAUCAGUGCUCAGGUAAAAGUCUCAAGAGGCCCCAAGGGGAAUGCACAAAUGCACACUUAGAGGCUCUCAUCCCUGGAUAAAUGACUCAGUGGCUUCAGAGCUGAGAAGGAGGGCUUGCCCUCUUUCCAGUUUGGGGACAAAAUGGCAGAUGCUUGUCCCAGAGGCAAGGCUCCGGUGACUGAGCCAUCUUCUCCCAUUCCCUCAUCACGGAGACUGUCUUUACCCUCCUCUAGUGUUCCUGAGGUUCCAGACUUCUCCCAGCCACCGUGGCAGGUACCCCUCAUGUCAGGGACUGCCUCGUGCUGCUUUUCAUCUGAACCUUUACCCAGCAUGCAACGCAUGGCUCCUGCCUGGUGAGCCUCGUGGGCUGAGAAAGCCAAAGCACAGCCUCCAGCGUGUGGGUCCAAAUGCACGUGCCACAGUAGAGGAGCACCCUGCGCUUGGCGCCCCGUCUGGUGGGACCUACCGAUAUUCCAACCGUUGACACUUUUAUAUUUUCACUACAUUUUAUAUUUUUAUAGACUAUUUUAUAUUAAGGUUUUUCUAGAUCCUGUACAACUUUUAUAUAACAAGUUCUAUUUUGUGUGCACGACUCCCCUGUAUGUAUUUAUAUCAACCCGAGCCUCCCAGAUUGCAGGUCCCUCUUGUGCCACCUUUUCCUCUUAGCCUUGACUGUCCCUCUCCUCUGCUCACCCAGGUAGCCUCAGGGGCUACUUCUAGCCGUGAUAACACCCGAACAGCAGUCACUGGUCAGCAUGUACUUCUCUGGUGUUUGUUAGCUGUGGUCUGUUGAUACAGGAAGUACUCUGGGCAGUACCCAGUCAGGUUACCACACUAUGUUACCGCACAAACCCCUCUCCCUCAGUACAGUGGGUGUCCUGAUGCAGCGACCUCUGGGUGGGUGGCUGGUCAGGAAAGUCCUCGAAGACAGAGGCUAGAUGCAAGCCCGAUGUAUGAGGCUCUGCUCCUGUGGGCAACUAGGGGACUUGAGGGCACACUGCCAAAUGACUGUCCUUUCAUAUCACAGCAGCUUCCCUGCUCAUCCUUGAGUUAAAUGUAGACUUGUAAAGGAAGAAAUAAACUAAUUUUUAUUACA